rnacentral:rRNA from 1 species
CCUACGGGUGGCAGCAGUGGGGAAUAUUGCACAAUGGGCGCAAGCCUGAUGCAGCCAUGCCGCGUGUGUGAAGAAGGCCUUCGGGUUGUAAAGCACUUUCAGCGGGGAGGAAGGCGGUGAGGUUAAUAACCUCAUCGAUUGACGUUACCCGCAGAAGAAGCACCGGCUAACUCCGUGCCAGCAGCCGCGGUAAUACGGAGGGUGCAAGCGUUAAUCGGAAUUACUGGGCGUAAAGCGCACGCAGGCGGUCUGUCAAGUCGGAUGUGAAAUCCCCGGGCUCAACCUGGGAACUGCAUUCGAAACUGGCAGGCUAGAGUCUUGUAGAGGGGGGUAGAAUUCCAGGUGUAGCGGUGAAAUGCGUAGAGAUCUGGAGGAAUACCGGUGGCGAAGGCAGCCCCCUGGACAAAGACUGACGCUCAGGUGCGAAAGCGUGGGGAGCAAACAGGAUUAGAUACCCCAGUAGUC